rnacentral:tRNA from 1 species
GCUGGUGUGGCUCAGCGGUAGAGCAGCGCACUCGUAAUGCGCAGGUCGUCGGUUCGAAUCCGACCACCAGCU